rnacentral:rRNA from 1 species
AUGAUGACUCUCGGCAAUGGAUAUCUUGGCUCUCGCAUCGAUGAAGAACGUAGCGAAAUGCGAUACUUGGUAUGAAUUGCAAAAUCCCAUGAACCAUCGAGUCUUUGAAUGCAAGUUGCGCCCGAGGCCACCCGGUCGAGGGCAUGCCUGGCUGGGCAUCAUGC